AUGGCGACGGCCUUCUCUGUCACCACCACGUCCCUGAGCGCCGUCGUCGCCGCCUUCCCGGCCCGGCGCCCGAAUCCAUUCCUCGUGCUCCUCUCCUCGGCGGCGCGCCCCCAUCUUCGUCUUGGCGCCGCCCGCCCAACGCGCCUCCCGGUCCCACUCGCCGCCUCCUUCUCCGAGGAUCCACGUGGCUAUGGGUUGGAAAGGCCUCCCCAUGAUGUUGGGUCUUCUUCAUUCCGCAUGUACGUGGGCAACCUGUCAUGGCGCCUAGAUGACUCCAGGUUGGCACAACUAUUCAGCGAGCACGGCACCGUGGUCUUCGCUAAGAUCAUGCGUGACUUCCAAACCGGGCGCUCAAAGGGAUUCGGCUUUGUAGCAAUGGCAUCACAGGAGGAACGCGAGGAGGCCAUCGCGGCCCUCAACGGCCAGAUAUUGGAGGGGCUUGCCCUACGAGUGAGUGCCGCGGAGGAGCCAGACGUGACUGUAAGCAAGGCGGCUCCAGGAGGCGCCCGGGUGGAAAGCCCUCCGCCCCGUCAUGUUGCUGAGCCUUCAUUUCGGUUGCACGUGAGCAACCUGUCAUCGAGAGUGGAUGACUCUAGGCUGGCACAAAUGUUCAGCCAGCACGGCAAAGUGGCCUAUACUAAGGUCAUCCGUGAUUUCCGUAGCGGGCGCUCGAAGGGAUUCGGUUUCGUAGAGAUGUCUUCGCGGGGGGAAAUGGACAACGCCAUCACAGCCCUCCAUGGACAGAGCUUGGAGGGGCGUGCCAUACGAGUGAGUGCCGCGGAGGUGCCAGGCAUGGCCGUAAGCAAGGCGGCUCCAGGGGUAGAAAGUCCUCCCCGUCAUGUUGUUGGACCUUCGUUCCGGUUGCACGUGAACAACCUGUCGUUGAACAUGGACGACUCUAGGCUUGCUCAGAUGUUCAGCCAGCACGGCAAAGUGGCCUAUGCUAAGGUUAUUCGUGAUAUCCAUAGCGAGCGCUCAAAGGGAUUCGGUUUCGUAGAGAUGGCAUCGCAGGAGGAUAUGGACAAUGCCAUCACAGCCCUCCACGGACAGAGCUUGGAGGGGCAUGUCAUACGAGUGAGUGCCGUGGAGGAGCAGUCGUCAUCAUGA
rnacentral:rRNA from 1 species